rnacentral:rRNA from 2 species
UACGUAGGGUGCGAGCGUUGUCCGGAAUUAUUGGGCGUAAAGGGCUCGUAGGCGGUUUGUCGCGUCGGGAGUGAAAACACUGGGCUUAACUCAGUGCUUGCUUUCGAUACGGGCAGACUAGAGGUAUGCAGGGGAGAACGGAAUUCCUGGUGUAGCGGUGAAAUGCGCAGAUAUCAGGAGGAACACCGGUGGCGAAGGCGGUUCUCUGGGCAUUACCUGACGCUGAGGAGCGAAAGUGUGGGGAGCGAACAGG